rnacentral:rRNA from 1 species
GAUGAACGCUGGCGGCGUGCCUAACACAUGCAAGUCGAACGUGAGGGGGUAGCAAUAUCCUUGAAAGUGGCGCACGGGUGAGUAAUACGUAGGUGACCUGCCCUGGAGUGGGGGAUAACAGCUAGAAAUGGCUGCUAAUACCGCAUAAUACGAGAAUGCUGGGAAGUGUUCUGGUAAAAACUCUGGUGCUUCAGGAGGGGCCUGCGGCCGAUUAGCUAGUUGGCGGGGUAAGAGCCCACCAAGGCAGUGAUCGGUAGCUGGUCUGAGAGGACGAUCAGCCACACGGGAACUGAGACACGGUCCCGACUCCUACGGGGGCAGCAGUGAGGAAUAUUGGGCAAUGGGCGGAAGCCUGACCCAGCAACGCCGCGUGGAGGAAGACGGCCUUCGGGUUGUAAACUCCUUUUACGGGGGAAGAGGAAGGACGGUACCCCGAGAAUAAGUCACGGCUAACUACGUGCCAGCAGCCGCCGUAAAAC